rnacentral:misc_RNA from 1 species
UCUCCGUUGGUGAACCAGCGGAGGGAUCAUUACCGAGUUAUCAACUCCCAAACCCCUGUGAACAUACCUUUUGUUGCCUCGGCGGGAUCGCCCCGGCGCCCGCCGCAGGACCCUAAACUCUUGUUUUCUAUAUGAAUCUUCUGAGUGACACAAGCAAAUAAAUUAAAACUUUCAGCAACGGAUCUCUUGGUUCUGGCAUCGAUGAAGAACGCAGC